rnacentral:ncRNA from 2 species
CCGAAGUUUCCCUCAGGAUAGCUGUAAUGCAUUUAGUUAAGGGGAGUAGAGAUAUGGGUAGAGGUGCAGGGAGCCUUCGGGUUCUCAACUUAUUUCCAAACUUCGAACCUCCUUGUUAGGCAUUUACCUAACUGGAAAUGCUUAAAUGAAUUAGCGUUACAAGUGGGCUCUGACCGGUAAGCGGUCAUGGCGAAAUGGGAUGAACCAUACGUCUGAAUAAGGUGCCGAAAUGUACUAUCACUGAUACCAUAAAGGGAGUCCAUGUAUUUAGACAGCAGGUCGGUGCCCCUAAAAGCAGGUAUCCGCUAAAGAGUGUGUUAAAACUCACCUGCCGAAUACUAGGGCCCCGAAAAUGAAUGGCGCAUAUAGUACUACCGAUCUCAGACAUCAGUUCUAUUGAACUGAGAGUAGGGGGAUGUGGACAUUUUUGUGAAGGUGCAAUGUGAGUUGGACUGGAAGAAUGUCUAUUACAGAUCCUAAUUGAAGUAGCGAUUAUCCAGGCUUGUAUCCUGGGGGCUGAUGAGGAGUAGGGUUUCUGGACAACUUAAACAGAUCCAGAGUUAGUCGAUCCUAAUCUCAAUAAUGGGAGAAAGGGAGUACAGUUGAUAUUCUGUAACUGACAACAGUUCGCGGCAACGCAUACUAUUUUUCUCCGCCAAUCUUAUACCGUUGGUAGGGAUCUCUUUCCUACAUGACAGUACUAAUACCCAGGGAAACUGGUCAUCAGGCGAACUGCGGCGUUCUGCUGGCAAAACAUAGCUUCGGUUAUGUCAAUGGCUAUUGGAUUGGUCCAUGAAGCGAAAAAUAGUUUACUGUGUCACUCGUACCGAUAACCGCAUCAGGUCUUCUAGGUAAGUAGCCUAUGGCCAUUGAGGCAUGAUAGUUCAGGGAAUUCGGCCAAUUAGAGCUGUAACUUCGGGGAUAAAGCUUGGCUCUGAUGAAAAUCAGAACCGAUUGUUACGCGGAGAGCCCAACUGUUUAAUAAAAACGUAGUGUCGCGCUGUGGUAGUAUAGCCAGUGAACGCGACAUGAAUCCUGCUCAGUGCUGUGUCUGUUAAUAUGGUUCAAGCCAACGAAGCACC